AUUGAACGCUGGCGGCAUGCUUUACACAUGCAAGUCGAACGGUAACAGGUCUUCGGAUGCUGACGAGUGGCGAACGGGUGAGUAACACAUCGGAACGUGCCUAGUAGUGGGGGAUAACUACUCGAAAGAUUAGCUAAUACCGCAUGAGAUCUAAGGAUGACAGCAGGGGACCUUCGGGCCUUGCGCUAUUAGAGCGGCUGUUGGCAGAUUAGGUCUUUGGUGGGAUAAAAGCUUACCAAGCCGCCGAUCUGUAGCUGGUCUGAGAGGGCGAACACCGACACUGGGAGUGAGACACGGGCCAGAGACCUACGGGAGGCAGAAGUGGGGAAUUUUGGAAAAAGGGCGAAAGAGUGAGCCAGAAAGGCCGCGUGGAGGGUGAAAGGCCUCGGGUUGUAUAAAGGUCUUGUGCAGGAAAAAAAGAGUCUCUCUAAUAAAGAGGGUUGAUGACGGUACCGGAAGAAUAAGCACCGGCUAACUACGUG
rnacentral:rRNA from 1 species